UACGUAGGGUGCAAGCGUUAUCCGGAAUUAUUGGGCGUAAAGAGCUCGUAGGCGGUUUGUCGCGUCUGCUGUGAAAACCCGAGGCUCAACCUCGGGCCUGCAGUGGGUACGGGCAGACUAGAGUGCGGUAGGGGAGAUUGGAAUUCCUGGUGUAGCGGUGGAAUGCGCAGAUAUCUGGAGGAACACCGGUGGCGAAGGCGACAUCCUGGACCGGUAUUGACGCUGAGGCGCGAAAGCCAGGGGAGCAAACGGG
rnacentral:rRNA from 1 species